CACGUAGGGUGCGAGCGUUGUCCGGAAUUAUUGGGCGUAAAGAGCUCGUAGGCGGUGUGUCGCGUCGGCCGUGAAAACCUGCAGCUUAACUGUGGGCGUGCGGUCGAUACGGGCAUCACUGGAGUUCGGCAGGGGAGACUGGAAUUCCUGGUGUAGCGGUGGAAUGCGCAGAUAUCAGGAGGAACACCGGUGGCGAAGGCGGGUCUCUGGGCAGUAACUGACGCUGGAGGAGCGAAAGCGUGGGGAGCGAACAGG
rnacentral:rRNA from 1 species